rnacentral:rRNA from 1 species
CCUACGGGUGGCUGCAGUGGGGAAUAUUGGACAAUGGGCGAAAGCCUGAUCCAGCCAUGCCGCGUGUGUGAAGAAGGCCUUCGGGUUGUAAAGCACUUUCAGUGGGGAAGAAAGCCUUGGGGCUAAUACCCUCGAGGAAGGACAUCACCCACAGAAGAAGCACCGGCUAACUCCGUGCCAGCAGCCGCGGUAAUACGGAGGGUGCGAGCGUUAAUCGGAAUUACUGGGCGUAAAGCGCGCGUAGGCGGUCUGAUAAGCCGGUUGUGAAAGCCCCGGGCUCAACCUGGGAACGGCAUCCGGAACUGUCAGGCUAGAGUGCAGGAGAGGAAGGUAGAAUUCCCGGUGUAGCGGUGAAAUGCGUAGAGAUCGGGAGGAAUACCGGUGGCGAAGGCGGCCUUCUGGACUGACACUGACGCUGAGGUGCGAAAGCGUGGGUAGCAAACAGGAUUAGAUACCCCGGUAGUC